GUGGAUGUGAUGCGUUCAAAGCCCCGGAGAGAAUAGCGACAGUGAUGGUGUUUUUGACCUCAAUGAGUUUCUAACAAAAGCCUGAGGCUGAGGUCUUGCUGAGGAGGAAACAGUCACCAAGUCUGCGAUGCCCCACCGCUAUCCAGCACCGCCGCUCCCUCGGGCGCGAAGAGGAAGAUGGUUCUUGAAGACCAGCUAAAAAUACCUGGCGGCUGGAUGAUUCGAUGAUGGCGGCGUCAGAGUUCACGCAGAGAAGGAACACGCCUUCAUUUGCAAUCAUUGCGAUGACGCCUUCUUUUAUCUGUUCUUAUAGGCAUGGCCAACCAGACGGACCUGUCAAGUCUAUCGGGUGUGUUACCCCCCCACCGCUUGACGAUUAAUGGAGGAGGGAGUCCCAGGUAUGUUCAAUCGCCUACUUAGUCGAUCGUUUGAAUGUGCUACUUUCUGUGCCGAUGACUUUGCCGCUGUCUCGGUCCAUGAUGUGAUUCUUUAUUUUGCAAUGAUCUGAUAUGGCUGAUUUGAAGACUCCCUGUUGGGAUUUUUGUUUUAGGCUUCUUGUAAACCUUCCAGGUGUCUCUUUUUCACAUUCUUUCUGGUUUUCUUAUAGGAUUUUCUGCAUGAUUUAAAUGGGAUUUUGUAAAUCAAUCAAUGUUUACUUAUAUAGCCCUAAAUCACUAGUGUCUCAAAGGGCUGCACAAACCACUACGACAUCCUCGGUAGGCCCACAUAAGGGCAAGGAAAACUCACACCCAGUGGGACGUCGGUGACAAUGAUGACUAUGAGAACCUUGGAGAGGAGGAAAGCAAUGGAUGUCGAGCGGGUCUAACAUGAUAUUGUGAAAGUUCAAUCCAUAAUGGAUCCAACACAGUCGCGAGAGUCCAGUCCAAAGCGAAUCCAACACAGCAGCGAGAGUCCCGUUCACAGCGGAGCCAGCAGGAAACCAUCCCAAGUGGAGGCGGCUCAGCAGCGCAGAGAUGUCCCCAGCCGAUACACAGGCAAGCAGUACAUGGCCACCGGAUCGACUUUGCAUUUCUUGUCUUGUUCUAUUUGGACUUUUGAAUGUACAAGAGAGUGUCUUGUUUUUGUGUGAGGUUGAACUCUUGUGUUUAUUUGGUGUUUCUUGAUGACCCGCUGUAUUGGUUCACUUAUUCUAAUUUAUGUUAAGGUUAUAACCUCAUUGUUAUUUAUUUCAGCUUUUUCUUUUUGAGUUUCUUCUUUGUUCUCUUUGCCUUGUUUUUGUCAGGCUUUUCCCUGACAGUUUGUCUAUGUUUUAGUUUUUUCCUCUGCAUUUGUCUGUUUCCUCUGUGUUUAGUAUCUCCUGCCUUUAGUUCCUGUCUAGUGCUCUUAUUUUGUCAGCUUCCUGUCUUGUUCCCUGAGUGCUGUGUUCCUCCUCAGCUGCGGCUGAUUGGCACCUGGCCACACCUGUUGCCAAUCAGCCUGCUCCUAUUUGUAUUGUCAUUUGUAUUGUCAUUGCCUCAUGUCACUCUUGUGUCUUUGCUACCUGUCGUGUCUGGCAUCAUUUCAGCUAUUACCUGUCGUGCUACAUCUUGUCCUGGUCGUCGUAGCGGUAAGCUGUUUUUGUUAGCAUUAGCCAUUUCCAGUUUUUCCUGUUGGCUACCCGCUAGCUUCCACGCUAGGUCCUUUUUUGUUUCUUGCUAACUUCUAUGCUAAAGACCCUUAGUUUGUUUUUCCGCCCAUGUGUCCGCUUUUUGUUUGUACCCUUUGUUUGCUCUAGUUCUAGUAUUUUAAAUUAAAACCAUGUUUUCCCAUGCAA